GAUGAACGCUGGCGGCGUGCCUAACACAUGCAAGUCGAACGAAGCUUGAUGAAUGAUUUCUUCGGAAUGAAUUCUGAUAUGACUUAGUGGCGGACGGGUGAGUAACACGUGAGCAACCUGCCUUUCAGAGGGGGAUAACGGCUGGAAACGGUCGCUAAUACCGCAUGAUAUGUUUGGAUGGCAUCAUUUGAACAUCAAAGAUUUAUCGCUGGAAGAUGGGCUCGCGUCUGAUUAGAUAGUUGGUGAGGUAACGGCUCACCAAGUCGACGAUCAGUAGCCGGACUGAGAGGUUGAACGGCCACAUUGGGACUGAGAUACGGCCCAGACUCCUACGGGAGGCAGCAGUGGGGAAUAUUGCACAAUGGGGGAAACCCUGAUGCAGCAACGCCGCGUGAAGGAAGACGGUUUUCGGAUUGUAAACUUCUUUUCUUUGUGAAGAAACAAAUGACGGUAGCAA
rnacentral:rRNA from 1 species